rnacentral:rRNA from 1 species
UACGUAGGGUGCGAGCGUUAAUCGGAAUUACUGGGCGUAAAGCGUGCGCAGGCGGUUUUGUAAGCCAGAUGUGAAAGCCCCGGGCUUAACCUGGGAAUGGCAUUUGGGACUGCAAGGCUUGAGUGCGGCAGAGGAGACUGGAAUUCCUGGUGUAGCAGUGAAAUGCGCAGAUAUCAGGAGGAACACCGAUGGCGAAGACAGCUCGCUGGGACGUGACUGACGCUGAGACGCGAAAGCGUGGGGAGCAAACAGG